rnacentral:rRNA from 1 species
CCUACGGGGGGCUGCAGUGGGGAAUUUUGGACAAUGGGCGAAAGCCUGAUCCAGCAAUGCCGCGUGUGGGAAGAAGGCCUUCGGGUUGUAAACCACUUUUGUACGGAACGAAACGGUUCGCUUUAAUACAGUGGGCUAAUGACGGUACCGUAAGAAUAAGCACCGGCUAACUACGUGCCAGCAGCCGCGGUAAUACGUAGGGUGCGAGCGUUAAUCGGAAUUACUGGGCGUAAAGCGUGCGCAGGCGGUUAUAUAAGACAGUUGUGAAAUCCCCGGGCUCAACCUGGGAAUUGCAUCUGUGACUGUAUAGCUAGAGUACGGUAGAGGGGGAUGGAAUUCCGCGUGUAGCAGUGAAAUGCGUAGAUAUGCGGAGGAACACCGAUGGCGAAGGCAAUCCCCUGGACCUGUACUGACGCUCAUGCACGAAAGCGUGGGGAGCAAACAGGAUUAGAUACCCUAGUAGUC